rnacentral:rRNA from 1 species
AAUUUUCCCCUAGUAACUGCGAGUGAAGCGGGAAAAGCUCAAAUUUAAAAUCUGGCGGUCUGUGGCCGUCCGAGUUGUAGUCUGGAGAAGCGUCUUCCGCGUCGGACCGUGUACAAGUUUCCUGGAACGGAGCGUCAUAGAGGGUGAGAAUCCCGUCUUUGACACGGACAGCCGAUGCUUUGUGAUGCGCUCUCGAAGAGUCGAGUUGUUUGGGAAUGCAGCUCAAAAUGGGUGGUGAAUUCCAUCUAAAGCUAAAUAUUGGCGAGAGACCGAUAGCGAACAAGUACCGUGAGGGAAAGAUGAAAAGCACUUUGGAAAGAGAGUUAAACAGUACGUGAAAUUGUUGAAAGGGAAACGCUCGAAGUCAGUCGCGUCCGCCGGGACUCAGCCUCGCAAUCCGUUGCUUGGUGUACUUUCUGGUGGACGGGCCAGCAUCAAUUUUGGUCGCCGGACAAAGGUCGGAGAAAUGUGGCACCUUCGGGUGUGUUAUAGUCUCCGGCCACACGCGGCGGUCGGGAUUGAGGAACUCAGCACGCCUUUACGGUCGGGGCUUUGCCCACGUUCGUGCUUAGGAUGCUGGCGUAAUGGCUUUGAACGACCCGUCUUGAAACACGGACCAAGGAGUCUAACAUGCCCGCGAGUGUUCGGGUGGUAAACCCGUGCGCGUAAUGAAAGUGAAAGUUGGGACCUCUGUCGUGGAGGGCACCGACGCCCGGACCAGAACUUCUGUGAUGGAUCUGCGGUAGAGCGUGCAUGUUGGGACCCGAAAGAUGGUGAACUAUGCCUGAAUAGGGUGAAG